rnacentral:rRNA from 1 species
CUUUGGUCAUUUAGAGGAAGUAAAAGUGUACAGGGUUUCGUAGGUGACCUGCGGAAGGAUCAUUACCGAGAACGCGUCCUCUGGGCGCAUUCCCACCCUUUGUUUACUAUACCUUUGUUGCUUUGGCGGGCCCGUCUCGUGACCGCCGGCUUCGGCUGGCCCGCGCCCGCCAGAGGACCACAACUCUGAUUAUCAUGCCGUCUGAGUAUUACACAAAUACGUUAAACUUUCAACAACGGAUCUCUUGGUUCUGGCAUCGAUGAAGAACGCAGCGAAAUGCGAUAAGUAAUGUGAAUUGCAGAAUUCAGUGAAUCAUCGAAUCUUUGAACGCACAUUGCGCCCUCUGGUAUUCCGGGGGGCAAUGCCUGUUCGAGCGUCAUUACAACCCUCAAGCUCUGCUUGGUGUUGGGCGGUACCGCGCGCGGUACGCCUCAAACGUAGUGGCGGCGCCGUUCGGCUCCUAGCGUAGUAACAACUCUCGCUAUGGGGACCGGGCGGUUGCCUGCCAGCAACCCACACUUUUAAAGGUUGACCUCGGAUCAG